UAAAAAAGAAGAAAUUAAGAAUAAAAGUAUAAAAAGGAUAAAAAAAAAAUAAAGACAAAAUCAUAAUGUCACGCCCUGGAUUACACGUUUUUCCGGGCGCGCCAACAGACCCGCCCGCCGUAUACGAAGGAAUUUUUCUUGUAUACGAAGCGAAGCUGUACUGAAACUAUAAUCAAACAACACUACAACCAGUAGUAUAGAGCUGCUAGAAUGAAAACAGAUAAAUAAACAAGUUCCAAAUACAUACGUAACAUCCAGGAACAAAACUGCUCGCACAAGCGAGUCUAACAUCCGUAUGUACAUGAACUCAAAAAUAAAAGUACAACUACCUGCAGAAGGUACUCUACUAGCUCAGGCUUGACUGGUAGGGCUCUAACUCGCGACGCCCUUGCCACGACAGGAUCAGCAGCAGCAGCAGCCGAAGACGACGGGUCUGCAAAACGGAAGCGAAAAACUGGGCGUGAGAACUACUGCAAAAAUAAGUAGUCCUCAGUGGGUGCCGCCCUCAACAUUAUCGGUCCACCCACUAAGUCUAC
rnacentral:lncRNA from 1 species